CUGAUGGCUGCGCUCAACAUUCAUUGCUGUCGGUGGGUUUGCAUCUGAAUCAACUCACUGAUCAAUGAAUGCAAACUGCAGACCAAAAA
ensembl:miRNA